CCCGCAGGUGGUGCGACACGUGUGGUGUGAAAUCGGACGGCUUAACCGUCCGCCGCCAUCGCAUACGGUCGCGCUUGAGCCGUGCAGAGGGACGUGGAAUUGCCGGUGUAGUGGUGAAAUGCGUAGAGAUCGGCAGGAACACCAAGGGGGAAGCCAGCGUCCUGGGCACGUGCUGACACUGAGGGGCGACAGCGUGGGAGCAAACA
rnacentral:rRNA from 1 species